rnacentral:rRNA from 1 species
UAAGGAAUAUUGGUCAAUGGGCGCAAGCCUGAACCAGCCAUGCCGCGUGCAGGAAGACGGCCCUAUGGGUUGUAAACUGCUUUUAUACCGGAAUAAACCCUUUCACGUGUGAGAGGUUGAAUGUACGGUAGGAAUAAGGAUCGGCUAACUCCGUGCCAGCAGCCGCGGUAAUACGGAGGAUCCAAGCGUUAUCCGGAUUUAUUGGGUUUAAAGGGUGCGUAGGCGGCCUGUUAAGUCAGGGGUGAAAUUUUCCAGCUCAACUGGAAGCUUGCCUUUGAUACUGACGGGCUUGAAUGCAGCUGAGGUAGGCGGAAUGUGACAAGUAGCGGUGAAAUGCAUAGAUAUGUCACAGAACACCAAUUGCGAAGGCAGCUUACUAAAGUGUGAUUGACGCUGAGGCACGAAAGCGUGGGGAUCAAACAG